AAAGAAUUAGUUAAAUUAUAUAACAUUAAUAUGUCAUAUUAAAAUUAUUUAUUAUAAAUAUUCUUUU
rnacentral:tRNA from 1 species